UUUGUUAAAAGGUAUUUUCUGCCCGGUGAUUAUUUAACGGCCGCGGUACUCUGACCGUGCAAAGGUAGCAUAAUUAUUUGCCUUUUAAUUGUAGGCUUGCAUGAAGGAAAGAACAAGUGCCUAGCUGUCUCUUUUUAUUAAUUAGAAAUUUCUAUUUUUAUGAAUAAGUAAAAAUGUUGAAAAGGGACAAGAAGACCCUAUUGAGCUUUACUAUUUUCAAUAAUUAUAAUUAUAUUUAUACAUAGAAUAUUUUUGUUGUAGUUUCGUUGGGGCGAUGAGAAAAGAUAAAAUCUUUUCUAUUUAUUUAAAUUUACAGAUUGAAGUUGGAUCGGUAUUAACCUUUAAAGGACUUAGUUACCAUAGGGAUAACAGCGUAAUUUCUUUUGAGAGUUCAAAUUAAAAAAGAAGUUUGCGACCUCGAUGUUGACUUAUUAUUUCCUUUUGGUGCAGCAGUUAAAAUGGUUAGUCUGUUCGACUAUUAAAAUAGUACGUGAUCUGAGUACAGACCA
rnacentral:rRNA from 1 species